rnacentral:rRNA from 1 species
CAGUCGCCACGGUAAUACGAAGGGGGCUAGCGUUGCUCGGAAUUACCGGGCGUAAAGGGAGCGUAGGCGGGUCGUUUAGUCAGAGGUGAAAUCCCGGGGCUCAACCUCGGAACUGCCUUUGAUACUGGCGACCUUGAGUAUGGGAGAGGUGAGUGGAACUCCGAGUGUAGAGGUGAAAUUCGUAGAUAUUCGGAAGAACACCAGUGGCGAAAGCGACUCACUGGCCCAUUACUGACGCUGAGGCUCGAAAGCGUGGGGAGCAAACAGGAUUAGAUACCCGCGUAGUCCCUGUCUCUUAUAC